rnacentral:rRNA from 1 species
GACGAACGCUGGCGGCGUGCUUAACACAUGCAAGUCGAGCGGUAAGGCCCUUUCGGGGGUACACGAGCGGCGAACGGGUGAGUAACACGUGGGUGACCUGCCCUCAGCUCUGGGAUAAGCCUGGGAAACCGGGUCUAAUACUGGAUAUGACUCCAUGACGCAUGUUGUGGGGUGGAAAGCCUUGUGCGGCUGAGGAUGGGGCCCGCGGCCUAUCAGCUUGUUGGUGGGGUGAUGGCCUACCAAGGCGACGACGGGUAGCCGGCCUGAGAGGGCGACCGGCCACACUGGGACUGAGACACGGCCCAGACUCCUACGGGAGGCAGCAGUGGGGAAUCUUGCGCAAUGGGCGAAAGCCUGACGCAGCGACGCCGCGUGAGGGAUGACGGCCU